GGCUUACACAUGGCAAGUCCGAACGAAGCUCUUUGAACAGAGGAUUCGUCCAAAGUGAUGAGAUGACUGAGUGGCGGACGGGUGAGUAACGCGUGGGCAACCUACCCCAUACAGGGGGAUAGCAGACGGAAACGACUGAUAAUACCGCAUAAGCGCACAGGAAGGCAUCUUCCAGUGUGAAAAGCUUCGACGGUAUGGGAUGGACCCGCGUCUGAUUAGCUGGUUGGUGAGGUAAAGGCCCACCAAGGCGACGAUCAGUAGCCGGACUGAGAGGUCGGACGGCCACAUUGGGACUGAGAGACGGCCCAAACUCCUACGGGAGGCAGCAGUGGGGGAUAUUGCACAAUGGGGGGAACCCUGAUGCAGCGACGCCGCGUGAGUGAAGAAGUAUUUCGGUAUGUAAAGCUCAAUCAACCGGGAAGAAAGGCCCCGCAAGGGGAGAUGACGGUACCGGAACAGAAGCCCCGGCUAACUACGUGCCAGCAGCCGCGGUAAUACGUAGGGGGCAAGCGUUAUCCGGAUUUACUGGGUGUAAAGGGAGCGCAGACGGAAUAGCAAGUCUGAAGUGAAACCCCACGGCUCAACUGUGGGCUUGCUUUGGAAACUGUUAUUCUGGAGUACUGGAGAGGUAAGCGGAAUUCCUGGUGUAGCGGUGAAAUGCUUAGAUAUCAGGAGGAACACCGGAGGCGAAGGCGGCUUACUGGACAGAUACUGACGUUGAGGCUCGAAGGCGUGGGGAGCAAACAGGAUUAGAUACCCUGGUAGUCCACGCGGUAAACGAUGAAUACUAGGUGUUGGGUGGCAUAGCCAUUCAGUGCCGACGCAAACGCAAUAAGUAUUCCACCUGGGGAGUACGUUCGCAAGAAUGAAACUCAAAGGAAUUGACGGGGGCCCGCACAAGCAGUGGAUUAUGUGGUUUAAUUCGAAGCAACGCGAAGAACCUUACCAGGUCUUGACAUCUCCUGCAUAGCCUAGAGAUAGGUGAAGUCCUUCGGGACAGGAUGACAGGUGGUGCAUGGUUGUCGUCAGCUCGUGUCGUGAGAUGUUGGGUUAAGUCCCGCAACGAGCGCAACCCUUGUCAUUAGUUGCUACGCGAGAGCACUCUAAUGAGACCGCUACCGACAAGGUGGAGGAAGGUGGGGAUGACGUCAAAUCAUCAUGCCCCUUAUGAUCUGGGCUACACACGUAAUACAAUGGCCAUCAACAGAGGGUCGCAAUACCGCGAGGUGGAGCCAAUCCCUAAAAAUGGUCUCAGUUCGGAUCGCAGGCUGCAACCCGCCUGCGUGAAGCUGGAAUUGCUAGUAAUCGCGGAUCAGCAUGCCGCGGUGAAUACGUUCCCGGGCCUUGUACACACCGCCCGUCACACCAUGGGAGUCGGUAACACCCGAAGUCGGUAGCCUAACCGCAAGGAAGACGCCGGCCG
rnacentral:rRNA from 1 species